AUUGAACGCUAGCGGGAUGCUUUACACAUGCAAGUCGAACGGCAGCGCGGACUUCGGUCUGGCGGCGAGUGGCGAACGGGUGAGUAAUGUAUCGGAACGUGCCCAGUAGCGGGGGAUAACUACGCGAAAGCGUAGCUAAUACCGCAUACGCCCUACGGGGGAAAGCAGGGGAUCGUAAGACCUUGCACUAUUGGAGCGGCCGAUAUCGGAUUAGCUAGUUGGUGAGGUAACGGCUCACCAAGGCGACGAUCCGUAGCUGGUGUGAGAGGACGACCGGCCACACUGGGACUGAGACACGGCCCAGACUCCUACGGGAGGCAGCAGUGGGGAAUUUUGGACAAUGGGGGCAACCCUGAUCCAGCCAUCCCGCGUGUGCGAUGAAGGCCUUCGGGUUGUAAAGCACUUUUGGCAGGAAAGAAACGUCGCGGGCUAAUACCCCGUGGAACUGACGGUACCUGCAGAAUAAGCACCGGCUAACUACGUG
rnacentral:rRNA from 1 species